GUUCCCUAGUUACUCCUUUGGAUCAUUUCAAUGAUUAUUUUCUCCCAACACUGCUGCAGGUUACUUCAAAGUAAUCAGCAAUGCUAUCCUGACAGCCAAGAUUCAGAUAGAUUUUCUAUCAACUGAGCCAGGCUCUGAUAGUUUAUCACUGAAAAUAAUAAUGAUGAUAAUAAUAAUAGCAAAAAUACCUGCCCCAAUUAUGAUUGACAAAAUGUCAUGGGGAGAAAAGAAGUAUAUAAUUGAUGGCAGUCAUUAAACAUAGACAGAGACUCAGGAGGCGGAACCCAAACCCUGAAUGGUCAGAAUCUUCGUAAUGGGGAAUAACAGGAAACUUAACCCUGGGCUGGUGUUAAGGCAGGCACCUGAUCCAGUGUGACAGGGUAAUGAUUUAUUUCUUCAGCUACUGAUUUUUAGAACACCACAGGGCUGCGGAAGAGAGGUAAAUUUGUUAUAUCAGAGCAAUAUUUCAUAUUUUUAAGCCGAUAUACAACACUAACUUACUAAUGAUUUGACUACAUUUUAAUUCCUCUUUCAUUUGCUCCUUUACUUUCUAAUGUUUUUUUAUUUGAUUUAGUUUGUUUUAGCUACUAUUCUUCUCUUUACUUUUUUGUUAUCUUUCACCUUUAAAAACAUAAAUAUUACCUUUCCUCCUUUUUUUUUUUUUUUGUGCCCAACUGCUCAGCCCAGCUGCUAGGUUAAUUUUUGAUGUCUCUUUAUACAACUUGUCAUGACUUUCUUCAUAUUAGCUUUAUUCCUCUUUACUCCUCUUCUGUUGUCUUUCCUCUCCCCUUUGGCCUAAGCCCUGCUACCUUAUCUUUUCCCAUUCCCAAUACCAUACCUCUCUAGCACCCAUUGGGUGCCUCUGUCCUAUGGAGGCAUUAUUCUUAUCCCAAAUAACAAGGGUGGACUUGUACCCAUUCUGCCUUCUCUCAGGGAAAGGGCGCAGUAAGGGGCAGGAGGCUCUGGGGGGCAUGCCUACACCUGGGGGGCUCUUGGCCUUGUGAAAUAACUGAAAUGGUUUACCUGAAGGAAAGCGUAUCAUCUAACUUGGUUCUAGACUUACCACAGACUAUUAUUUAAAUCUGCUAGGAUGCUUAAUGUACAGAAACAUUGAACAAAAGGAGAAGAUAAUAGAAUUACAAAGUAGUUAAAAAUAGAAUUGUUAUGAAAUCUAAGUUCAGCCCAGCUUGGAAAAUGACUGAGGGGAUCUAUUGGUUGACUUUUAACCACUCCUGGAAGAAACAUUAAGCCUCUUUCUUGACAGGACAAGAACCCCGGCCUGAAAGGUAGCCUCAGCUUCCACAGGGCAGUGAGGCAGAGGAUGACAGAGGGGACCUUUCAUGCUGGGCAUGGUUUUGAGGAUGGCCAGCAGGGCUUGCAUUUCCUUGCAGGAUAGAUGUGUGUAUAUUAAUUGCCUCUGCAGUGCCAGCCACAGCAUUUCCCAGAAAAAAAAAAGAAAGAAAGAAGAUCUUCUUGAAACAGAGAAUAUUCAUUUUACAUCGUAACUAAUGAUACUCAGCUAACAGCCAGGGAGCAAGGUGGCAUGACAGGAAAAGAAAUCAAGGCAUGGAGGAUGGUAGCAAAAUCAGGAAUGGGGAGCCCUCUUCAUACACUCUUUUAUUCACCCACUCACAUUCUUACAGAUAGGAGUUUAACACCUAAGAAAAGCAAUUGAGAUAAUUUUCUAGAGUCAGACACACCCUGAGUCUCAUAUCUUUUACAUCUGACCAAAGGAGGACUUAGGCGAGUUGUUUAAUGGUUUCUGGGCCUCAGAUUCCUUUCUAUAAACUGGGAGUGAGCAGGGUGGCUGCCUCAUGGGUUCCGUAGGCACUGGAAAUCUUUGUCCUGCCAGUCACCAGCUAUGCAGACUGGGCCAGGCCUGGAGUUGCUCACUUGUGGAGGUGGGUGAAAGUGUGCCCUGUUGUCGCCUGCACACUCACCAGGUGGGGAGGGUGUCACGAGUGAUUAUGUACCUGGAAGCCUUUUCGAUCCGCGAUUCGUUUGGCAGCACGUCAGAUCUGCAACAGCCCAUAGCAUCUGGUUGCUUGGAAAAUAGUCACGUUCAGGAGGCAGAUUUAAUGGAAAAGAAAGAAUAUUUAGAAAAAAACAAAGCCUUAAAUACUUGUAGAGUUAUAUGCAGGUUAUAUUCUUCUGAAUAUCUUUAGAAAAAGAAUUUUUCCUUUUGCUCUUCUUCUUGACAAAUAAUCUUUGAGCACAAACUAUGUCCCAGGCAAUGUUCUAGUAAGUCAUUGAUAAAAGGCAAACACACUGAUCAAAUCUCUCACCUUGAAGAUACCAAUAAAUAGUUUAAAACAACAUAAUAUGUUAGAAAGGAAACAGUGCUAGGCAGGAAAAGUAAAGUGUUGAAAGGGGACAGGAAGUUCUAGAAAGAUGGGAUAAAAUUUUAGUAUGAAUAAGACUGAAUUCAAAAACCAGGAAAAGUCAGCCAGAGAGGCAGGUUCGGUAAAGGGAGUUGAUAGUGACCCCAGGUAAGGCAGAUUUCAUUUAAGAAUAAAUAGAAAAACAAAACAAAGGCACACAUACAUUGAUGAGAUCUCCAUGGAGUCAGGAGAAUGAUUACUCUUCUGGAAUAUUCUGCAAAGCUGAAGACAGUUCUAGAAACAGCAGCAGAGUGCCUUUGUCCAAAACAUGGCUAUUUGAGUGCGUAGUCUGAGCCAGGCACUGUUGUAGAUGAACAGAGGAAGUGCCUAGCAUCGGUGGUGCUUCAUCCCAUGGAGGCAGACCGAAGCUAAGCAGUGGACAUAACCAAUAACUAAAUCUAUUUAGUGCUAUGCCGCAUCCAUGGGGAUUGGUUCCAGGACCUUCCACCUAUACCCAAAUCCAGGAAUGCUCAAGUCUCUCUUAUAAAAUCAUCUUCAGAUUACUUACAAUACCUAAUACAAUGUAAACAUUAUGUAAACAGUCAUGAUAUUGCAUUGCUUAGGGAAUAAUGACAAAAGUCUGUACCUGUCAGUACAGAUACAAUUUUUAUUUAAAAACUUUUCUGAUGAUAAUAGUAUUUGUACAUAUUUAUGGGGUACAUGUGAUAUUUUGAUAUAAGCAUACAAUGUGUAAGAAUCAAAUCAAGGCAUUGAUGUGCAGUUGAUUGAAUUCAUGGAUGUGGAACCCACAGAUAGGGAGGGCUGACUGUCUUUUUUUUUUAAUUAAGUUAAAAAAUGUUAAUUAACGAAUGAACAUGUACAUAUUUAUCUUGUACAACAUGUUGUUUUGGAAUAUAUACAUAUACAUUGUGGAAUGGCUAAAUUGAGUUAAUUGACAUAUCAUUACCUCAUGUAGUUAUCAUUUUUUUGUAAUGAGAACACUUAAAAUCUACUCUUUUAGGAAUUUUCAAGAACAUGAAACAUUGUUAUUAACUAUAGUCACUGUGUUGUAUAAUGAAUCUCUUGAAUAUGUUCUUUCUAUUCAACUAAAAUUUUCUAUCCUUUGAACAUGUUCGUAAACCACACCUCCUUACCCCCUAGUAACCACUGGCAACCACCAUUUUACUCCCUACUUUUGUUUGUUCAGCUUUUUUAGAUUCCAGAUAUAAGUGACAACACUUUUCUUUCUAUGCCUGGCUUAUUUCACUUAAUGUAAUGUACUCUAGGUUCAUUGAUGUUGCUCCAAAUGACAGGAUUUCCUUAUUUUAAGGCUAAAUGGUAUUUCAUCGAAUUUAUCUACAACAUUUUCCUCACCCAUUCAUCUGUUGAGGGACACUUACGUUCUUUCCAUAUUAUCUCGGCUAUUGUCAAAGUGCUGCAAUGAACAUGAGAGGGCAGACAUCUCUUUGACAGUCUGAUUUCAUUUUCUUUGGACAUAUACCCAGAAAUGGGAUUGCUGGAUCAUAGGGUGGUGCCAUUUUUAUUUUUUUUAAUUUGACCAGAGCCUACUUCUUAGAAUAUUUUUAAUUUUUUGAAGAACUGUCAUACUGUUUUCCAUAAUGGCCGUACUAAUUGACAUCCCCACCAACCAUGUGCAAGCGUUCUCUCUUCACACACUGGCCAACACGUGUUAUCCUUCAUCUUUUUGUAAUAGCCCUUCUGACAUGUGAGUAAAUAAUUUAGUCUUUAUUGGCUUAAUUUUAUUGCCCUCGAGAAAAGUGGCAGGAUGGAGGCAGUAAUCUCAUAUUUAUUGGAAAGAACGUGCUUGAGCCUAGAAUCAAGCUGACUGUCUGAACUCAUUAGUCCCCCAUCCCUGAGCAAGUUACUUAAAUUCUCCCAAUGUCAGCUUUCUUAUGCUUAAACUGGAAUUAGUAAUAUCUAUGUUACGUAGUUGCGGAAAUGAGGUCACGUGGUUAAAGAAAUCUAGUGUGUAGUAGGUAGGUGUGGAGCUCAUAGGAGGGAAGGGGCGUUACAUGAUGUUAUUUAUCCCAAUUCAGUAAUAAUUAUGAUUUCUACACUCAUUUAAAUAGGUGAUGUUUGACUGUUUUUCUCAAACAUGGAUCAUUAUUUUUUGUCACACUUUGUAAAUGAACAUAAGAAGCAUGAGAGGUGCAUCUGUGCUCAGACCUGCCAGUACAGCCUAAUAUUUUCCUGAAUCUUGAGGCAGUCAAGUUGCCCAUAUGCACUGAGGCCCACUUUAUGUAGAGUGUGCUUGGGACACUUCCAGAGAUGUGCACAAUCAGCUAAAACAGUUUUGUCCUUUCAGAAUUUAGCUGAGAAAAUGACAGUCCACAUAAUAAGAUCAUUAACGAUACAAGGCAGGAGAUUGUACAGAUGAUGCUGUGGGAUUUUUUGUAUUUCUUCUUGUGGAGCUCAUCUUACUAAGUUCAAAUUAUCAAAUUGUGUUUAAGGAAGAAAGGUUCAUUAUUUCAUCAUCCUCAUUUUUUUUUUAACCAUUUGUGGGUCAUUCCUCCCAGGUUGUAAGUAUUUUUAUUCAGAUGCAUGUAGGUGUUCGAUAUUUACCCUUGUAAUGUUAAAGAUGACAGGAUACUGCUCUCACUUUGCUCUGUUAUAUAAGCUAUGUGUUCCCACCAGCCCUCCGCAUCUUCCUUACGUACUUUGGUGGGAAGGAGGAGGCGGGGUGUCAACUCUCUUUGCCCUUGGGCUGUCACCUGGAUGGGCAUUCGGUGUUUGCUUCUCUGGCAGCUCUGUGCCAGGCCUGGGUCUUCCUUCACACUAGAGCAGGUAUGUUCUGGAAGGAGGAAUCCAGUCUGAUAAACUCCUUCGAUUCUUCAUGCUAGCCCCAUGGGGUGGGAGUGGCCCCUGAGGCUCCAGUUUCCACUCUUGGCUUCUAUUCUCAGCCCUGGCUUUUUCUCCCCCAGUGGUGCUUUUGCUCCAACUGCUCGUGGAGGUACCGCCAUACCCCACUUUCGGAGAAUGCCUCUCUGGCUCACAGACUUCUAUGCCAUUCCUCAGAACAGGCCAUGUUCCCCACAGUUUCUCCAGGGGCGCAUCCUCUGGGCAGCACCCAAGCCUUUCCACCUGCCCUGAGGGUAAAUUUGAGAUCAGGCACUCACGUAUGCAUACACAAGCACACACACUUGUGCAUGGACACAUGCACUUCCUGCCCUCAAAGUCAAACAAUUCUCAGAGAAGGCAGCCUAAAUCCACCCCAGGUAGCAGAAGCCUAUUAGUAACGGCAGCAUCCUCUAGCCCAUCAUCCUGGCCUGGAUGUGUCAAGGGAGCAGUCCCAGCCCCUCUGUUCUCAUUUCUGGGUUUUUAAGCCCACAGUGCUAGAGGCUGAGAGAAACAAUGGCCCUUUAGAGUGUCUUCCCUAAAGAAAUUUGGUGCAACUGUGUUCUUCCCCACGGGCCAGAAGAACAGCUUAGACUGGACUUCACACUUCACUAGGACAACCCUUUGAUUCCUAUUUGGGAUACAACAAAGGGAGGAAACAAAGUUUUUUCAAUUAUUUAGAAAGUGCCCAUUGACAUAAAGGAACGUUAAGUGACUUGUCUAAAAACGACGUGGCGCCUACAGGGCUGACACUGUUCAGGGUUCAAUCACCUGAUAAUUCACAACAUUUUCUUUUUGCUGAAUUUCAUGCACCUCCUUACCCCAAACAUAUAUAAUAUAUCCCCUUUGUAAAAAAAAAAAAAAAAAAAUCACAGCCUCAAUGGAAAAAUAUUAGAAACCAAACAUGAUUUUAUGGGCUAAAAAUUCCAUUCCUCUCAUCAUUUCUAUUUUUGACCUUGUUGCCCAGUUGUGAGAAAUUGGGAAAGGCAGCUCUUGGUGCCUCAGUUUCUUCAUUUGUGAAACUGAGAAAAUAACACUUAACCCCUCCCCGCUUUCCACAGAAGUAGCAGGCUUAAUACAUUAGUGCUAGCAAAGCACUUUACGCUCUCAGAGUACCUUUCACAAAACAAUAUCAAAGCAUUACUGCAUCUAUUAUUAACAAACAAGAUUGGCUUGAACACGGAGUCCCGAGAGAACUUCUUUGUCACUUCUCUGCAUGCAGACUGAGUGACAUUUUCUAUGACCUUCUUCACUUUGCCGGCCAACAACCUGCUCAUUAACAUGGAUCAUAACACUGUUUGGUACUUUUCCACUGCCUUUCAUUUGGAAACCUCCAAAUGCCUUGCUAACAUGAUUAAAUCAAGUAUCCUCAAACAUAGGUUAGGUGUUACAAGAACCAUUACACUUAGGGCAGUGGGCAGAGAGAUCCAAGGAAUGGAAAGUUAAGGGCAAGAAGUAGUUCCACUCACUGGGUUUCCAUUCCUAACCCAGAAACGAAUAACCCUUCGGCUCUUUGGGUCUCUCAUCCCCGCUUCUUGAAAGCCCAGUCUAGAAUGUUAGAAAAUUGCAGCAGAUUCACUGGUGUGCUCUAUUUUCAGCUACUUCCAUAAAGAAAUCAAUUCAAUGUGUCUGACAGUCUACUUUUCCUGAAGCUCUGCUGGCAGAGGGCUUAACUUUAUAUCAUCUUUCACAGCCCCAAAACAAAACAAACAUUUUAUUUCAUCCUCAAUGAAAGUAACUUCUAUUUAUCUUGGUGAGAUUCCCAUGCUAGGUAAUCGGCAGUCACCAGUCGGAUUUCCUUUGUUCUCGGCACUUUUGGGCUAUUGCAUUUUAGUGCCUGAGACGCUGAGUCCGUGACAGAGGAGACAUCUUGUCAUUUUAAUGAACUGAGUUCUCCCAGCACCACUCUUCUCACCAACAGUCCUUUUCCAUUCCCAUCAAGACGUCAGAUGCAAAAUAAAACUGCAACAUGGCAGAGUGUGCAAGGACAUUCAGAUUAUUACUGAAUUAUGUGGCUGGAAGACUCUGAGAGAUCACUUUCCUCAUCUCUAACUUUUUGAGAUUUUUCUCUAAGUGAGCUCAAAUUAUUACCUGUUAUAACAGAGCUUUCAAAUCACAAAGGGCCUCAGCAAGUCUAAGUGAAAAGGAUGUGGCAUGCAUUGUGUUAAGGAACUGUCUAAGCCUGGGCUUGUUUCUCUGGGCACCUAGCUUUCUGUGACUACUCACACCUUUAGAAGUUGAUCAGUGAAUACAAAUGAGCAAUAACAUUAUACAGAAGGAAGAUCAAGGGACUUGAAGUCAAAGUAUAGAGAUGCAAAUUCAGAGCUGUGUGACCUGAAGAAAGUUGCUUAAGUUUCCUGAAUUUUGUUUUACUCAUCUUUGAAUCGAGGGUAUUGAAAUCUACUUGAUCUCCAUGGACCUCACAAUAUGGAAAUGAUAUCUUGUAAGAUAAUAUUUGAAAAUUGUCUGUAUAUUCGAAAAUGUUAAGCAAAUAUUCGUCAUUAUUAACAAUGUUAGUAAAAACUAAAGCUAACUGCAAAGGAACAUCCACAGUGAAAAAUGUAUAAUGCAUCCAAAACACAAACACAAAUUUCAAAAUCCACAAUUGUUCCUUGUCGAUUAUGAUGAUUCCCUUCUCUUGGUACAAUUUGAGAUGAAAAAGUCAAAAAUCGACAAAAAACUAACAAGACUUCCAGAUGACCAAUUGGGAUUGUUUUCUUGGUACAGUGCUUCAAAAGAGACACCUGCAGUGCUAAGAAGGGCCUACUUGGAUGACAUAGCCAAGGUGUAUCCACAGCUUAAUAGGAUCACAAGUAGCAUUUGAUGAUUUCAUGAUGUGCUUUAUAGCAUCCCCUUGGUGUGGCAGAAUCCCUAGCUUCACAAAGAAUUUACCUGAACAAAUGGCUUGACUUUUUUUCUGCCUCAGUUUCCUCAUGAAUGAAACAAUUUAUGUUCUUUUGUUGGCCACAUAAUGUAAACAUCAAAAGCAAUUCUAUGUGCAAGUAUGUGGAAGUGCUACCUAUAAUUUGAGAUCGCAUUAAAGUGGAUCCUUGCUUUUUAUGUGCAAUCAUUUUUAAGCUACUUUUUUUUUUUUUUUCCUGAGGAGAAGAGAGAAGGAUGGCUAGGACUGAACUAAAGAGUGCUCCAAGGAGAUGAAAUUUCUAAGAGUCACAGAUGAAGCGAAAUAUGACAAAGUGUCAGCUGACCACCAGGAAUAAACAGAUUCCUGGCAAUAGCCAUUAUUAGAUCGUGGAAUUGCCUCUCUCAGGAAGUGGUAGAAACAUUUACUGCUCAACUGGAUAAAGUACUCUCAGGGGCCAGAUGACCUGCCAUUUCCUUCUACAUUAUCUAUGAGUUUUUUCUAAUAAUAAUAAAACCACUGAAAUUGGCUACAGAGCUAUAAUCACUCAUAUAUAGGCUGGGAGCCGCAUCGUCAUGACAGCAGGCCAUGUUCUCAGAUAAUUGCUCUCGAUUUGGCCUUGGUCUUGGCGACUCCCCCAGUCUGUUUAGUGCUAGGUCCAAGUCUACAGAGGACUGAUUAGCGUCUACACUGGCCUUACAUGCAUUUAACAAUGUUGAGCCACUACUUUCUAAACAGUAAGCUGGAUUCAGGCAGCUUCAGAAAUACCUUGAAAAUAUGAUGCUGUUUAAAUGCUAAUGCUGAGGCCUAGAAGUGAUGGUAGCUGGCCAGGAGCCGUGUUUCCUCUGUUGGGCUGAGCGUAUGAUUUCGUUUCUCCUAUUUGUUCAGUCGUAGUAAACAUUUUUCAUGGAGUUUUUACAGUGUUUGCAAAAAUGCCUCCUAAGCAAAAAUCGAAAAAUACACUUUCUUCUUUGUACAGUUUUCAAAAAUAUACUCCUUUUGAAUUGAAAAAGGCUUAUGAAAGAAUGAUGAACAAACCAUAUUUGAUAUUUACAAGUGUUAUUUUCUUGUUAUUAAAUUCAGUUUGUAAGAUGUAUGUAUGUGUGUGUGUGCGUGCGCGCGUAUGUGUGUGUGAAUCUAUUCAUUCCUCUACUUAUCCCCUCGAAAAAUCUCAUUUUCAAAAUUUCAUAAUAUUUUUUAAAAAGGAAAAAAGAAUGACCUGCCUGUAUCGGUAAAUCAAAAGCUAAAAUGCUGACUCAUGCAGCAAAGCGGCCUGACUUGCGGAGCUAAUGCCCAAGUGCCGGCUCUCUCGCCCUCUGUGGCAGCCAGGGGCUCGCUGUCCGCUCUCCCACCAGCAUGGCUUCAGGAGAUGAGCCCUUCACUCAUAGGGCAUUUCCAGCUCUCAGCAUAGUGCCUGGCCCAGGGUAGAUGCUGAAUAAUCGCCCAUUAAAGUCCACUAUGUUGUUGUUGCUGUUAUGGAACCAUUCUUACAAAGAAUAUCAUAGAACCCCAGAUAGAAAAAAAUAGAUAGAUGUUUUUGGGUAGAGAACCACUUUCAAGUGAGAUCCUUACUUUGUGAUUCAAGAUUUUAUGUGUCUUUCUUCUUUCUUUUAAUCUGAAGUGCAUUCCCCUAUCCUGCUUCAUGGUCAUGAUUUCAUUCAAAUUUAUUGAAUUCCUACUUGCAAUUCUAUUAGAUCCUACAAUUUAUAGAUGACCAAUGGCAGAGAAUUUUUAGACCUGAUUUUUACAUACUGCUUUGCAGUUAAAUUACUUUUAUUUGCAUAAUCCAAAGCAUUGAUUGAACCCUGUGAGGUGGAGACAUAGAUAGUUCUACUUUUAUUUUAUAAAUGAGGAAACUGAGGCUCAGGGAUGUUAAGUGAUUUAACUGAAGUUACGUGGUGAGUGAGUGACAGAUUUGAGCCUUAAACAUAUAUUUGGACUCUGUAGGGUUUUUCCCUUCACCUUCUGAAGGUUUGCUGAAAAAUCAAUUCACAAAAGGCAGAUUAAUUGGAGAACAGGUACACAAAACUUAUUAACAUGUACGUGGGAACCUUCAAAAUAAAAAAUCAGGCUGGGUGCGGUGGCUCAUGCCUGCAAUCCCAGCACUAUGAGAGGCCGAGGAGGGUGGAUCACCCGAGGUCAGGAGUUCAAGACCAGCCUGGCCAACAUGGUGAAACCCCGUCUCUACUAAAAAUAUAAAAAUUAGCCAGGCUUGGUGGCGCAUGCCUGCAAUCCCAGCUACUCGGGAAGCUGAGGCAGGAGAAUCACUUGAACCCAGGAGGCGGCGGUUGCAGUCAGCUGAGAUCUCCAGGUUGCACUCCAGCCUGGGCGACAGCAUGAAACCCUAUCUCAAAAAAAUAAACAAAUAAAUAAAAUAAAUAGAAUAAAAAAAUCAGUGAUAACAGGGAAAAUUGUCCAUUUUCCUGCUUAGGUUCAGCAAAUUAUACACAACCAUGUAGAAAUAGGAUUGGACGCAAAGGUCAUGAUCUAAUGCUAACAGACUGAGUGGGGAACCCAGCCAGGCCCGUCUAGAUUCCUCCCGGCCUCUAUGAGCAGCGUCCCUCCCUUCUGGGUGUGGGGGUCUUAUGACCUUCAGUCAAACAAGGCAAAUUGGAUGAUUUCUCUAUGGCCAGUUUUAACCCAGAAAGGUGGAAAGAAAGUUAGAGUCAUAGUUUUAGGUUGGAUGGCCGAUUUUGGAGAAAACGGGUUCUGACUUCAGUGACCUGCCUUGAGGAAGAGGGAUUCUGGAUUCUGCGGCCAGCCUCAGGGGAGGUUAAGACUGAGAGACAGGAGGGCUCCAGAAGGCCAGCGAGAAACUUUUGCUUCUUAGGCUGCUUCUGAGGCCUUCAUUUGGGAGUAUUGUUUGCUGAGACCCAGCAACUCAAAAUCACUUCACUAAGAAAGAAGUCAAUAUACCCAUUGUGUCAUAUUCACACACGUCCUCACUGCCAAGCUCUAUUAUCAGCUGAAUAUGUUUAUUUGGUCAUGUCCUCCUACGUCAAAAGCUCCCAUGUAUAUUAAUUCAUGCAACUAUACUUGUGGUCACUGCAAAAGGUCAGCCUGGAUGCCAGAGUGAGCUUGUUGGGCUCAGGAUUUUCUGCUGCAAACGCAUCCUCGGCCAAGCCACGCCCCAUGCAAUGUAGCUACAGGCAGGAAGGGUCUGAUCACGCCCCAUGCCAUGUAGCUACAGGCAGGGAGGGUCUGAUACAUGGCGACCGCUCAGUGGGGCAGAUACUGAGGCUGCCCACACCCAGUCUAACAAUAGACAGGCGUACAGUGUAUGCAGAGAGUCACCUUAAAAGUGGUAGAAGGAGUAGUUUCCUUAAAGCAAAUAUUUUCUUAACCUCAAAGAAAUAUCUCAGUGUAACCAUGCCAGAUAAGGUUUUGCAUAAAGGGUUAGCUUUUUGAGUUAUAAUCUUCUUUUAUGAAAGAAUAGCCUGGAAACUUCAGGUCUCACUUGUGUGUAAGGAUUUGAAAUAUUUUAAGCCAAAGAGAAAAGCUUUAGAGAAGAGUUUAGCUGCCAGGGGCUUUUUUCUGUAACUCGCAGUGAUGAGGCAAGGGAAGGCUAGCGCAGACCAGGAGACAGGCCCCAUUAAAAUCUUAUUAGCAUGCUUUGAAGUGACAGCAGUGCCACGUCCGAAAUAUCUCCCCAGCCCACCGUCUUUCUCAGCCGCCUGUGUCCUAGCUAGGAUGCUGGGCCACAAGCAAUGGAAAGCACCCUGAGCUGGACUCUUGCUUCAUCCUGAAUUUAUCACAACUAGCAGUUUGACCUAUGGGAUGCCAUGUGCACCUCUUGUACUCUCAGAGUUUUGUUUUUUUUUUGUAUAGAUGACAGAGCUAGAUACGAUGGUGUUUAUGAGCCUGUCCAGCUCUAACCUGUGUGAAUCUUUAAGGAUUGCCGUACCACUUUCAUUGGUAGGAAAUCCAGAUACUGUACAUUGGAAUAUUUCAAAAUGAAGUCAAAUUGGAAACAGAUGAUGCACCCGGCCUACCCGAAACUUGGUUCCCAUCUGCAGUGCAGACGUAAGCCAACAGCUAACAUGGAGAAGUGGUCAAAAUUGUUGGGUUCUUUGAAAAAAUACUAAUUAUUAAAAGUAAUAAUUAACACAUGGGAAAAUAUGUCUAAAAUACAUGGUAUUUUUUUCUUCUGAAAUUAUAAUGUCCUCUUAAAAGCCAUUUAAAAACUGUGUCAUUCUAGCUUCCUUGCUACCAUUGCUUUUGUUGUGCAGAACAUCAUUCUAAAUUUAAAGGCUGGUAAACAUACAAAUUGAAGAUGUUUGCUAAUUCAAGUUAAGAGAAUAUUCAGAUUAAUACAAUGUAACUCGAAGAAAUGAUUUAAAGGAAAACAAAAAGACUAAACAAGUACCAGCAUCCAGUAGGAGUAAACUUAUUUUCAUACUCAGUUAACUAGCUUAAGGAGAGAGUAAAAUUAAAAAAACAGUUUUUUUUUUUUUUUUUUUUUUUUUUUUUUUUAUAUUUAAGAUGGAGUCUCACUCUGUCACCCAGGCUGGAGUGCAAUGGUGCGAUCUCAGCUCACUGCAAGCUCCGCCUCCCGGGUUCAAGCGAUUCCCCUGCCUCAGCCUCCUGAGUUGCUGGGAUUACAGGUGCACGCCACCACGCCUGGCUAAUUUUUUGUAUUUUUGUAGAGACAGGGUUUCACCGUGUUAGCCAGGAUGGUCUCAAUCUCCUGACCUCGUGAUUCACCCACUUCGGCCUCCCAAACUGCUGGGAUUACAGGCGUGAGCCACCGCGCCCAGCCAAAAAAGCAGUUUUAAAUAGUGGAUCUCAUACACUGUGCCAGACAAAGUGAGACACAUACAUGCAAACAUCUAUUUGGAUGCAUGUAUAUAUGUAUAUUUGUAUUUAUAAGCAUAUACAUAUGUAGACAUUUUUGAAUACAUAAUUAUUUUGAAUAGUCAAUAUAACCUUAACACAUAGGAGUUAUUUUCCUGUUUUUCAGUCGAGGAAACUGAAAUUCAGAAAUAACUAACCUGGUGUCCCUUAGCUAAUAAAUGAAGAAGCCCAGCUUUGAAAACAAGUGCCUAGCCCUUCUAAAGAAAGUUGUCUUUAUAUUAUACCCCAUUUCCUCAAGUAAGGGCUUUGUUAUAAAACAUCCUGAGAGCCUGGUGUUUAGAAACUGCUACAUUUAACUUAAAUAAAGAACACGAGUUAUUUAACAUUUUGAGUUUUGAUUCCUUCAUCUGUGAAAACGCAAAUGAAAAUAUCUACUUUGGGAGACAGUUGGCGGGAUUAAAUGAGAUACAGUGAAUUAAAAUAUCUGCAAAAGUCCCUGGCAAAUCGUGGCCUUGUACAAUAUAUUAGUUUGUAUAGCAUUUUAGUCGCAGUUUCUCCAAAUCUCUUUGCACUUAAAUCUUUUUUGUUACGAAAAGAGAAACAAAAUUUUGCCUGCUACCUCAAAGGAGUAAACAAGUAUUUACUGAAUGCCUUCUAUUAUGUCAUAACGUUUUAUGUGUCACAUUUCGGAGCUGAUUGAGGUCAUGAUUAUGGAAUCUUUUAUGUGGGGUGGUGGUAGUUAAACAGUAAGUACAGUUAUGUGAAUCUAGCUUUUCUGGUGUCCCCAAGUGUUCAAACAGCUUUUUUGGUAAAAUGAAUCCUGGGAAACUAAAAGUACUCCUACCUUUUGCAUUUCCUGCUGCCUCAGUCCCUCCAGUUUGAGUUAGUUUUCCUCUAGGGGCUUUGGAGGGAAAGUUUUCCUCUUGCCACACUCACCUUGAAGCAGGACGUAAUGGAUUGCCGAGGCUUUCACUAUGCAUCUUGUCUCAAUACAGGCCUUCGGGGGACAGGCCUGCGACAUUACCCAGUCUACAAAGGCAGAUUGAAUAUGAAAGCCUCAACCAUCACAUCAAGCCACAGAUCAAUCAUAGCCACCACACAGAGAAAAUUACCAUUUGGCAACAUCCAUCAUCUUUACAAGUGCUACCCACAUCUAACUCCACCUGAGCCAGCAUUGUUGCCGCUUACUUCUAUCUUCAGUGAGGCUGGAAGUCAACAAAAGGGUCUUAUUCCCUUUACUGGGAGAGGAGAGGAGAGUAGCACAGAAAUGCCUUUCUGAGGGGUAACCGUCUUUCCAAUCCUGGAUUCCCUUGUUGUCAGCUCCCUCUUCACGCCUCAUUUUAUGAAAUCAAUAAAGAACUGAAGCUCUC